GGCAAGAUGGCUCAGUCAGUAGAGCAUGAGACCCUUAAUCUUAGGGUCGUGGGUUUGAGACCGAUAUUGGGCA